CCCGACCCGAAACCCGAAAUUGCCAGCCCUAAUACACAGUCAUCACCCAAACAAACCCCGGUUUUGUCGGAAAAUACACACAGAUACACAUAGUAUUUUACAAUAUAAUCAUGUCCAAGUGGUGGAAGAUUGGGCUUCGAAGAGCUAUACAAACGUCACCACUGUACCACUCAAUUGAAGCCAUUCCGCGAGAACUUACCGGCAAAAAUAUAGCUGCGAAAGAGAGAGCCCAAGGUCGAAUACCCGGCGUCGUUUUGGCCCAAGACGACGUCGCAAACACACUUUCCAGGAGACAUAUUAUUACUGCGCACAAGGAUCAGAUUCAGUCUCUUAUCAACCUUGUGCCACUGCCUUUCUUUUGCUCUACUGUUUUUAGUCUCCGGAUUCUUGCCGGGUCGGGUUCUUCUAAACUACUUGAAUCCGGAAAUGUACUUCCUAUUAAGGUUCACAGGCAUCCGGUUACAGGAAAGAUUUUUAAUUUAGUAUUUGUCUGGGCAGAUGAAGGCUCCAAAUUAAAGGUUGAUGUGCCUAUUGUCUUUAAAGGGGAAGAUGAUUGUCCCGGUAUCAGAAAAGGAGGUUUUAUAUAUAAGAUACGAGAUAAUCUGAAAUAUCUCUGUCCGUCUGAGCAAAUUCCUUCGAAAGUUGUCGUGGAUGUAAGCACACUUGAUAUUGGAGAUGGAAUAUCUAUGCAUGAUGUUCAGGUUCAUCCGUCACUAAAGCUGUUAAGUAAAAAUGAGGCUCUGCCUGUGUGCAGAAUUAUGGCAACACCAAUUAGAAUGUUCUGAACUUCAACGUAGUGGCAUUAUUUCCUAUUGCAAGGAGACUCCAAGUUUGCAAGGUACAAAAUUAUACCGGGUCACUUUUUUAGGAAUGAAGUCCACUUACUCGUGUAUCAGGAAUUUGAAACUUUAAUGAGGUAGAGGGAGAGAUCAAAGGGAUGGAAUCACCCACACUCCAGUCCAUAGACAACAACAGCAGCAACAAAGUGAAUCCUCCGGAGGAUACUAAGAAAGAAAAAGUCAUGAAUGUGCUGUUCUUGCUUCUACGAUUGCUGGUCCAGCUGCUUUGAUUACUGGUGCUUUUAAAUUCUUCUGCAUUUCGAGAUUACUAAGCUUUAAGCUGUGUAGUUAAAAAUCCUUCUCUCUUCAAAAUAAAAAUUAGUGAUAUGCAUCUGUCUCUUUCUAUGUGUUACCAGCUUUUUCUUUGUCACAA